rnacentral:rRNA from 1 species
GACGAACGCUGGCGGCGUGCUUAACACAUGCAAGUCGAACGGUAAGGCCCUUCGGGUACACGAGUGGCGAACGGGUGAGUAACACGUGGGUGAUCUGCCCUGCACUUCGGGAUAAGCCCGGGAAACUGGGUCUAAUACCGGAUAGGACCACUGCCUGCAUGGGUGGUGGUGGAAAGCUUUUGCGGUGUGGGAUGGGCCCGCGGCCUAUCAGCUUGUUGGUGGGGUGAUGGCCUACCAAGGCGACGACGGGUAGCCGGCCUGAGAGGGUGACCGGCCACACUGGGACUGAGAUACGGCCCAGACUCCUACGGGAGGCAGCAGUGGGGAAUAUUGCACAAUGGGCGCAAGCCUGAUGCAGCGACGCCGCGUGAGGGAUGACGGCCUUCGGGUUGUAAACCUCUUUCAGCACCGACGAAGCGCAAGUGACGGUAGGUGCAGAAGAAGGACCGGCCAACUACGUGCCAGCCGCCGCUGUAA